AGAUGAACGCUGGCGGCAGGCCUAACACAUGCAAGUCGAGCGGUAGCACAGAGAGCUUGCUCUCGGGUGACGAGCGGCGGACGGGUGAGUAAUGUCUGGGAAACUGCCUGAUGGAGGGGGAUAACUACUGGAAACGGUAGCUAAUACCGCAUAACGUCGCAAGACCAAAGUGGGGGACCUUCGGGCCUCAUGCCAUCAGAUGUGCCCAGAUGGGAUUAGCUAGUAGGUGGGGUAACGGCUCACCUAGGCGACGAUCCCUAGCUGGUCUGAGAGGAUGACCAGCCACACUGGAACUGAGACACGGUCCAGACUCCUACGGGAGGCAGCAGUGGGGAAUAUUGCACAAUGGGCGCAAGCCUGAUGCAGCCAUGCCGCGUGUGUGAAGAAGGCCUUCGGGUUGUAAAGCACUUUCAGCGGGGAGGAAGGCGAUAAGGUUAAUAACCUUGUCGAUUGACGUUACCCGCAGAAGAAGCACCGGCUAACUCCGUGCCAGCAGCCGCGGUAAUACGGAGGGUGCAAGCGUUAAUCGGAAUUACUGGGCGUAAAGCGCACGCAGGCGGUCUGUCAAGUCGGAUGUGAAAUCCCCGGGCUCAACCUGGGAACUGCAUUCGAAACUGGCAGGCUAGAGUCUUGUAGAGGGGGGUAGAAUUCCAGGUGUAGCGGUGAAAUGCGUAGAGAUCUGGAGGAAUACCGGUGGCGAAGGCGGCCCCCUGGACAAAGACUGACGCUCAGGUGCGAAAGCGUGGGGAGCAAACAGGAUUAGAUACCCUGGUAGUCCACGCCGUAAACGAUGUCGAUUUGGAGGUUGUGCCCUUGAGGCGUGGCUUCCGGAGCUAACGCGUUAAAUCGACCGCCUGGGGAGUACGGCCGCAAGGUUAAAACUCAAAUGAAUUGACGGGGGCCCGCACAAGCGGUGGAGCAUGUGGUUUAAUUCGAUGCAACGCGAAGAACCUUACCUGGUCUUGACAUCCACAGAACUUAGCAGAGAUGCUUUGGUGCCUUCGGGAACUGUGAGACAGGUGCUGCAUGGCUGUCGUCAGCUCGUGUUGUGAAAUGUUGGGUUAAGUCCCGCAACGAGCGCAACCCUUAUCCUUUGUUGCCAGCGGUUAGGCCGGGAACUCAAAGGAGACUGCCAGUGAUAAACUGGAGGAAGGUGGGGAUGACGUCAAGUCAUCAUGGCCCUUACGACCAGGGCUACACACGUGCUACAAUGGCAUAUACAAAGAGAAGCGACCUCGCGAGAGCAAGCGGACCUCAUAAAGUAUGUCGUAGUCCGGAUUGGAGUCUGCAACUCGACUCCAUGAAGUCGGAAUCGCUAGUAAUCGUAGAUCAGAAUGCUACGGUGAAUACGUUCCCGGGCCUUGUACACACCGCCCGUCACACCAUGGGGAGUGGGUUGCAAAAGAAGUAGGUAGCUUAACCUUCGGGAGGGCGCUUACCACUUUGUGAUCAUGAUGGGU
rnacentral:rRNA from 1 species